UGCUUGCCGUUGCGGAAGAUGCAGAAAACCCAGAACGAAAUCGGACUGUCACAAGCAAUGUUACUUAUGGCCUGUUCUCCUUGCUAUAAUCUUCACAAUCCUUGCACAAGUUGCCUCAGGUUUAGCUCUUGGAGGGACAGUUAGAUUCCAUUCUGAAGC